rnacentral:rRNA from 1 species
GACGAACGCUGGCGGCGUGCUUAACACAUGCAAGUCGAGCGGCAAGGCCCUUUCGGGGGUACACGAGCGGCGAACGGGUGAGUAACACGUGGGUGACCUGCCCUCAGCUCUGGGAUAAGCCUGGGAAACUGGGUCUAAUACUGGAUAUGACUCCACGGUGCAUGUCGUGGGGUGGAAAGCCUUGUGCGGCUGAGGAUGGGCCCGCGGCCUAUCAG